ensembl:lncRNA
CCAUUAUCUUUUCUACAUCUGUUAUAUCUGCUUUUAGUCAUUUAAAUUUACGCUGAGAACUUUUUACCAUCCUGAAAAUUAUAUAUUUUUAAAUAAAACAUAAUUCAGUCUUAUUUUACCUAUUUUUUUCAGUGGCGGCCACACUGCUAUGGAGCUUGUUGUGUCUAAGGUAUGGAGCUUGUUGUGUCUAGGUCAUGGAGCUUGUUGUGUCUAGGUCAUGGAGCUUGUUGUGUCUAAGGUAUGGAGCUUGUUGUGUCUAGGUCAUGGAGCUUGUUGUGUCUAAGGUAUGGAGCUUGUUGUGUCUAGGGCAUGGAGCUUGUUGUGUCUAAGGUAUGGAGCUUGUGGUGUCUAGGUCAUGGAGCUUGUUGUGUCUAGGGCAUGGAGCUUGUUGUGUCUAAGGUAUGGAGCUUGUUGUGUCUAGGUCAUGGAGCUUGUUGUGUCUAGGGCAUGG